UUAAAUAAUAUAUAAAUAUAGUAAAUUAGAUAAUUAGUCAUUACCAAAAGCAAACCCGAUUGCUAAAAUUUUAGUUCUUCCUGGCAAACCCCAAAAUUUUUCCCGCUAUAUUUUUAGUUCCACCAAUUUACUUUAGCACUCUCUCAAACCCUUAUUCCUAAAUAUCACAGAGAAACCCCCGCUCCCUAAAUUCUAUUGCAUCAUUGAAAGUUUGUUCUUUUUCCUUUUACAUUUCGCACCUGAAUCCAGUUGCAGAAAUUCCAAUCGUAUACCGUCUCCUCCUAUAUUUUUACAUUUCACACAAGUUCUUUUCAAUCGUAGUCUCACUCUCAAUCCCAAUCCCAAAAAGGAAACCCAAACCCAAGUCUGGAUGACAAAGAACCAUUAGUCUUCAUCGUCCCUCCUUCCAACAGCAGCAAUGGUCGGUUCCAGUAUUCAUCCUCACCACCAGCAAUGGCUGCAAGAAGACCCACCGCCUCCUCCAACCACCGUUGGUACAACUCCUUCUCCCUUCCUUGUGGAAAACCUAAUCAAUCAGCUACUGAUGAGCAAUAAAAUUCACGAUCGAACCCGUAAGGACUUCAAGUUUGCGAUCAAGAGAGCUUAGAGAGAGUGUCGACCAUAGUAAGGACUUCAAGUUUGCGAUCUCGGUCUCCUGAUUAUGAGACGAAGGAAAUAAAGAAUAUAUAUGUGGACUUUGCUUGAGGAAAGCGUGUUGCUCGGCCAAAAAUUGAGUCUUUAACUUCUCCAAAAGUGUCACCCCAUUUGGAUACAAAGGAAACGGAUGAUCUGGUGACAAAGAAGCCAAGUCAAGCAGUAUAAGUAUGUGAUUUUUACAGGUGAUGUGAAUCCUCUCUUAUGGUGACCUAUUACUGCUAUUGGUUCAUUUGAUUUACCUUCUUAUGGGAAGAGUCAUGAGAUUGGUUUUAUAUAUAGUGCUCUUUAUAAAUUAAGAUAUGGCAUGAAAGAAACAAAUUAAACAUAAUCAUGAAUGUCGUUAUUUGUAUCAGAUUUGGCAUAAAAUGGAUUACAAUGAAAUCAUUAUUUAUGCAUAAAUGAACUUAUGAUAUUGAUAUCAUUAUCUCUGAGAUAGGAUUUAUCCAUUCCAAUAAUUCAAAGAACUUGAAAUUAGUGAUUAUGAUGUGUUGGAUUCUUGCUAAAGCUAAUGAUAUGAUCUUCAAGAAUCAUUUGAUUUAGAAGAGAGAAGUGUGUCAAGCGUGUUGGCUGAGUUUUGGGACCUUUUUCGGUUGGGUGUCCAAAGAAUGGUGUUUAUUUUCCUCAGCUUUACAUUUCUGUUUGGACUCAUCUUAUUAUCUUCUCUGGUAGUGGUAGUACCCAAUCUACACACAAUACUUAGUCCAAAUUAUUAUAUUGAUUACCUUUACUCUCUAACACACUCAUCAUAUUGUGAUUCUCUAAUUUCUUAUUUUGAUUAAUUCAAAUUGCCAAUGAAAGUGGUUUAAUGAAUUAUUAUAUUCUUGAAUUAUUUUUUCUAAUAAUUUUUUUUGCUUUACUACCAUCUUUUAAGUGCUCUGUGCCCAAUUUAAUUUUUCUUAACAUAUAUAUAUAUAUUUUUCUUUUUGAGCGUUUUAAUUCGUAUAUGUUAGAGAACAUGUGAGUCUUAAAUUGACUUUUAUUAUUAUUUUAUGUAUUUAUUUUUUUUUCUAUAAUUUAACGAUUUGAAGAGUUUAGGGAGAAAAAUCCUAAUUAGCUUAUAAUUUUUGCUUAGAAAUUCAAAGCAGCUGUUUCAUAUAAAGCAUAUGAUUUAUUGUCUUAACCGGUCCAAGAUAGAAUUACUCAUAAUACAGUUACACUUUCACAGGUGUUUAAUAACCAUUUUCUAUCAAUGGAUUCAAACUGUAUGUAAGUAUGGAAUACGAGUUUAGUAUUCUGUGACCAGAAUCCACUUGCACUAUUCUAAGAACUCUUUGAUGUAACUAAACCUAAAAAGAUACAACAACAUAUAUUUUUUUUUUAAAUCUAUGGAAUUUUUAUCUUGUUGAUUGUGGUUUUGACAAGAUCAAUCUCUACAAAGAGUUAAUAUGCCUACAUCUACUGAAAAUAAGUUCAUCUCAUUCGCAGAUGGAUGUACAUUUCGGGGUGGAUAUGAGUUUUUCGUUAUAUUCUUAAAACGAUUACGCUAAAUUUUACCUUCAAGAACUUUGAAAUGUUUAAAAAAUUUCAUGAAUUUCUAGCAAUGGUGAAAACCAUUAACGUAAGUGGUAAAAGAUCUUACAAACUGAUAGGAGUGGAGAAAUAGUUAAUAGAUAUGCAGUUCAAAGAUCAUUAAGUUGAUUUUGAAUUAUAUCCAAACUUACCUCCCCAGAAAUUCGAUUUGCAUAUUGAUGAUUAGUUACUUGUCGUUGCCUAAGUCCUUCUAAGGUAAUACCCUAGUGAAAGGAAAAUUUCAGAAUGAUGGAAUGGUUGUGUACUUAGUGUAAAUCAUGACUAGAUUCAUGGAUGACCUAAUCGAAAUCUUAAGAAAAGCUAGAACUGUUAACCGUGGUUUGCAUGUUCGUUAGCUAUUCUAAGUGAUUAGAGGUGGACCAUCCCAUAGUCAUUAGAUAAGAAAGUGUUUGUUUAAACAAAUACAACUUUUCUAAGAAAAUGACUAAGUCUGAAAAUAAAGUAGUAAAUAAAGGAGAUAAUUUUUUUCUUGAUUCCAAAAGUCUUCUAUCAUCUUAUUCCAUAUGAUGAUCCCAUUGCCUCGGCUGUCUUGACACAACCGAAGAGGUUAAUACCAUUUAGGUUUUUUAGACAUAAUUCACGGUACCUUAUUAUGAC